GCGCCCUUUUCUCCCUCCUCGCUCCGACGUUUUGGCGCGAAAUCUCAUGCCUAGGGUUCGGAUCUCAAUCCCCAGCAAUGGAGACCCCUUUCGCUCGAUCCCUUCUCCGUCUCCGCCUCCGCCAUGGAUCGGGAGAGAGGCGACGCUCCUCCCUACGAAGGCGCGCAUUUUCUAGGAGACUAAGCCAUCACCAUAAUGAGCAAACAAAAUUUGGUGUGUUUUCCUUGAUAUUUUGGACAUUCACUUUGCUUCCCUUGCUCAAGUACGUUAUCAUUGUAUCGAGCGCUGACGAUAACCUAGAAGGCAUGCCAGGUUCAGUUUACUUCCUAACCAGCAAGCAGCUGAUGAGGAACUUUCAUCGUAUUACAGACCGGGAUACACAAUUCGGAAUACUAUGUCCUCUGCAUUGAGACGGCUCUUUGAAAAGCAUAGGCGAGGCUGCACUAGUUGUCUGCAUAGUGCUGCUUCGCCUCUUUGCUUCGCAGCACAGGGGCACUCAGAGAGUUGCCUUCCUGUUUCAACCUGUUGUUAUCAUUUGGCUCUUGCGUACCGGCGUAAUCAGCCUGUACAACAUCAUUUACUGGAACCCCGACACGUAUUUGUGCUCUCUCUCCAUAUUACAUGAUUAAAUUCUUUACAAGGACCGGGACAGACGGAUGGAUAUCUCUCGGCGGAGUACUUCUUUCUAUGACAGGUACAGAAGCUAUUUUCGCAGAUCUUGGCCUCUUCACUGUUGCAUCCAUCAGGUCGAAAAAGGAUGGCCCAGAUCUCUGUAUACCUGAAAUCAACAGGAUCCUCAUGCUUCUUUGCAUGGCAAGGCGAUUUCAGUUUGCUGUUUGUCUGCUGUCGAUUUCUUUACAUGCAGAAAGUUGUGUUAGUUCUUGUUUUUUUUUUUUUAAGUUCACCAGUCUUCCAAACUGCAAUUCUGGCCGAGUCGAAGAUUGUCAACACGGCAGC